GACCGCAUCUGUGAGUCUGUCUGUAUUGAUUGAUCUGAAAGCGUGCUGGGGAUCCAGGUCUCUGCUGGCGGUGAGGCAGAAGGAAUCCAGGCUGAUGUGAGAAGACACUCAGCAGUCUGCGAUGCAGAGAGCAUUUCAGGAUCAAGACCUGGGGGUGGGCACGGCAGGAACUUCGCUGCCCGCUCCCUGAUGCCCAGGUGCCCGGGGAGAGAUCCUGGAGCGAAGUGCCAGGGGCACCGCAGCUGACAGCCCCGGGCACCACGGCCCGCGGAGCUCACUCCCCGCGGGGCGCGAGUGCGAGUGUGCGCGAGAGCGGCGGGCGGCGGCGGGAGGAGGCGCAGGCGCGCUGCUCGCCCGUCUGCAGCCGGGCGCCGGGCGCCGAGCGCCGCGGCUCGGGGAGUUGAUGGCAGCACCACAGGGCGGCCGCCGGGCCGAGCGCCGAGCGCAGCCACCCGCCGCUGCCCAGGGAGCGUCCAAGAUGUGGAGGGAUCCGGGCGGCAGCGGUUGCAGCAGCGCCAGGGACCGGGGCGCGCAGCAGCCUCCGCUCUCCUGCCUGUGCUGACCUGCCUCGUUUGGCCCCAAAGAAUGUCAGCCAAGUCCAAAGGGACGCCCCCCUCCUCCUCUCCAGCCAAGGGACCACCGGCAGCCUCCAAAACCAAGGUGAAGGAACAGAUCAAGAUCAUCGUGGAGGAUCUGGAAUUAGUCCUGGGCGACCUGAAGGACGUAGCCAAGGAACUUAAGGAGGUGGUUGAUCAGAUUGAUACCCUGACCUCUGACCUGCAGCUGGAGGAUGAGAUGACCGACAGCUCCAAAACGGACACGCUGAACAGUAGCUCAAGUGGCACAACAGCCUCCAGCAUAGAGAAGCUCAAAGUGCAGGCCAAUGCGCCUCUCAUUAAACCCCCAGCACACCCAUCUGCUAUCCUCACGGUCCUGAGAAAGCCAAACCCCCCACCGCCUCCGCCACGGUUGACGCCUGUGAAGUGUGAAGACCCCCAGAGGGUGGUGCCAGCUGCCAAUCCAGUAAAGACCAAUGGCACCCUUCUGCGGAACGGAGGCUUUCCAGGAGCACCAAACAAAAUUCCCAAUGGAGACAUCGGCUGCAUACCCAGUAAGAACUCGGACAAGGUGUCCCUGCAGCCUCUGAUGCAUAGACCUGAAAAAGACAGGUGUCCCCAGGCAGGGCCUCGGGAGCGGGUUCGGUUUAAUGAAAAAGUGCAGUACCAUGGCUAUUGUCCUGACUGUGACACCCGGUAUAACAUGAAAAACCGGGAGGUCCAUUUACACAGUGAACCUGUCCAGCCACCAGGAAAGCUUCCUCACCCAGGCCCUCCCCGCCCUCCUCCACCCCAUCACCCUCCAUUUCCACUUGAAAAUGGGGGACUGGGAAUAAGCCACAGUAACAGCUUCCCCCCGCUCAGACCUGCAACUGUGCCUCCUCCCCCUGCACCGAAACCACAGAAGACGAUCUUGAGGAAGUCAACUACUACAACAGUGUGAUGUAUGCCAUUUAAAAACAUUUUUUGUUUUAUUUUAGUUUUUAUAUUAUACACAUAAAAUAAUAAGUAAUGAGCACUUUCUACUCAAGCAAUAAAAAGCCCAAAUGUAUUAACCCUGCAUUCAGCAAAGUGGCAUAAAAAUCACCUGCUCCUUCAGGAUGGAAGGAAAAUCUUUAUUUGGAGGCAUGUCAGCUCAUUUUUCUCACUUCAGAUUCAUCACUAUGACUUCUUGAGGCCAGAUCUAAUUUUGAAAUAACCAAGAACCUGUCCAUCUUAGAGCAGCAAACCCCCUGAACUUCGGAGCACAAAUGGUCACGGAUACGGUCUGCAUAAAAUCAUCUGCCUCUAGUCUGACAGCCAUGAGCAGAGCCCUAGGGGUGAAAAAGCCACAGCCUUAAAUCUCUUCGCUCAGAAAUUACCAAGAAGAUUUUUUUAAAAAAUAGAUGAAAAGGACUAAACAAUCAAGCCAACAAAAACAGAAACCAAACAAGCUCCAUCUUACUUCACCAUGAAAAUAAGUAUUCCCAGAUAGGAACCCAUGAAAAUGUAUAUUCAGCGAAUUAAGCUAGUAAAUUAUCAAUUGAUUUAUCAUUUGGGAAGGUAAAAGUGUAGAGAUAGGAGAUACCUCUAGCCAGAAUCACUCAGCAUUUCAAAAGAAAAAUGUAGACAAAGAGAAACUGAACAAGCAGAGGAGCAUUGCAGCAAUGAACAGUAUUAGGACAGAAUGUUGCUGUUUGCAGAGAGGAUGUUUGCCAUCGUGUGUACACUUUUAAAGCCAUAAUGGAAUAGCAGCGUUGUUGUCAAUUGCUUGAAAAGUUUCUGCAUUCAAUCCUUCACUCCAUAUUGGUUGAGAGAGGGGGGAGGUCAGUUCUUACUGAUUAUUUCUCAAUGCACUUCGAAUAUUUGCACUGUCACUUCCAUUCAGGGUAAUGAUGUGCGCUGAUAUUUGCACAGAUGGUCCCGUGAGUUUUGAGACCACAACAAGCAGUUUCUUGCAGGAGUCUAAAAAGGAAACACUUAAGAAUUCUGCAUAUAUUGAUUUCUCUUUCUUCCAUAAAAAUCAGUUAUUUGAAAAAAUAAUGUUCUUGUCUCAGAUUAAAACAACAACUACAGAAUUAUCAUGAAAAAGCAGCAGUGUGGUCAAAUGAAUGAAAAAGGGAUCAAAUUUUUUAAUGAAGAUCAUUUUUUAUCAUUAACAGCCAAGAAGUCAAAUACAGUGAACUGUACACUAAACAUUUAUGUUUAACAUCUAUUUGUUCUCUGAAAAAAAUCAUUUGUAAUUUGUAUUUGACAUAUAACAGUUUUUUAUAGCCAUUUAUCUAUGCUUCAUGGAAAAAUGUACCAGAC